GCUACUAUAAACAUAGAGAUGCAUGUAUCCCUUUGAAUUAGUAUUUUUGUAUUCUUUGAGUAAGUACCUAGUAGUGAAAUUGCUGGGUCGUAGGCUAGUUCUAUUUUUAACUUUUUGAGGAGUCUCCAUACUGUUUUCCAGAGUGGCUGUACCAGUUUGCAUUUCCACCAAAACUGCAAAAGGGUUUCUCUUUCUCUGCAUUCUCUUGAACACCUGUUGUUUCUUGUGUUGUUGGUUUUAGCCAUUCUGACAGGUGUGAGGUAAUAUCUCAUUGUAGUUUUGAUUUUCAUUUCCCUGAUGAUGAGUGAUAUUGAGCAUCUUUUAAUAUGUCUGUUGGUUACCUGAGUGUCUUCUUUAGAAAAAUGUCUCUUCAUGUUUUUUGCCCAUUUUUAAUUGGAUUAUUCAUUUUGAGGGGUGGUGAGUUCUGUAAGUUCUGUGUAUAUUUUGGAUACUAACUUUAUCACAAAUGUUAUUUGCAAAUAUCUCCUCCCAUUCUCUAAUUUGUCUUUCAGUUUCUCUGAGUGUUUCUUUUGUUGUGCAGAAGCUUUUUAUUUUGUCAAUAAGAUACUCAAGAAUAAACCUAAGCAAAGAGGUGAGAAAACUCUGAAAAGUAUUAAACACUGAUGAAAGAAAUUGAAGAUGACACAAAGAAAUGACACCCGUGUGAGCUUGGAACAAGACCUUGAGCCUCAGAUGAGAUCACAAACACGGCUUGAUUUCCAUCUCUCAGACCCUGAGCACAGGACCAGUUAAACUGUGCCUGGACACUUGACCCGUAUAGUUUUAAUGGAUAAGUUCGUGCUAAGUUUGCUAUAAAGCAGUAAACAGCAAGUCAUGUAAGAGGAUCUAGCAAUGAGUGUAAUAAAGUCUGUGAUUUUAAUGUACUAAUGAGCAUAAGCUAUAUACGUAGGUUAUCUGUCACAACCAUAAUGUGAUAUGGAAGAAUCUGCUUUUCUACUUGUGAUAAAUUACAGGAACUGCUGUUGCUGGAAUUCAUAAUGGAAAGAAAUACUUAAUUUUAGCUACAGGCAAUAAUAAAAUUUUAACUCCCAAGAGAAUUGCGGCUUGCUCUACUUUGCUUCGUUGAGAUGUGAUUGCUAAUUGGAAGAUAAAUCCAUUGUUGGCACGUGAAGUUGAACGAGACUUUGAGGACUGUGCCAACUAGAAACACACUCAACACCUGGUGCCUUUUUGAAACAAUUAUCAUCCUUGCUAGAGUCUGUGGGUUCUGCUCAAUGGACUGCAGACAGAUGCUUGGAUUAGAUGUCACCUUGCACAGCUGAAGCUGCCAAGUUCGCAUGUACCUAUGUGUUCUACUCUGGUCUCCUGGUCGGCACAGCUGUGUGUUUCUGUGCAUUGGAUAUGAGUGUUGCUGGAACACUAGAGGCUCAGUUUUCCUUUGUGUUGAAAAUCCAUCCUAUUAUAGAUGUCCAUUAGACUAUUUCUUGAGGCCCUGAGAUGUAGGCUCACAUUUCCCUAAAAUUCAUUAUUUGGAUAUUGCAUUUUAAAAUAAUGCUUUUACAAAUGUGAAAUUUAGGGUGCCUACCUGGUUCAGGCUCAGUCAGUAAAGUAUAUGACUCUUGAUCUUGGGGUCUUGAGUUUGAGCCCCAUCUUGGGCAUAGAGUAUCCUUAAAAAAAAUAAGUUAAAAAGUUUUGUGGUGAACAGAGAGGAAGGGAGGCAGACCGUAAGAGACUCUUAAAUACAGAGGACACACUGAGGGUUGAUGGAGGUUGGGGGAGAGGGGAAAGUGGGUGAUGGACAUUGAGGAGGGCACUUGUGGGAUGAGCACUGGGUGUUGUAUGUAAGCCAAUUUGACAAUAAGUUAUAUUAAAAAAACAAAAACAAAAUGAAACAAAACAAAAUUUUGUGAUGAAAGUUAACCAUUUGUGAACCUAAGUAAAGGACAUUUAUAGAUUCAUUAUAUAUUUCUUUUGCCUUUUUUUCAAUUGGUUAAGAAACCAAAAACUAACAAUAAUGCUUGAAAAGAGAAGUGUGUCUGAAGUAGGCUUGUACCAGAAACGGCAGAGGAGAUAGCCUAUUCCCAAGAGAAAACUUUAAUCCAGGGGAUACCUCUUUCUCCACUUUCCACAGUAAUUUUGGCACUUUUCUCACUAUCUGCAGAUGCAAAUUAUAGUGAACUGAAGCCAUGUCCACAGCCACCCAACAGAAAAUUUCUAAGGCUAAGUAAGCAUCAAAUCAAUGGUUACCAAAAAGUUCUAAAAUAAUAAUAUUAAUAAAAACAUUUGACCAGAAGAUGAGAAGCACUAUGAUCAAAACUAAAUCAAACAGUACUAAAAAAAGUUAAGUUGCAAAUGAGACUUUAGCUUUAGAGAUUAGGGAAAAUCUCACAUUCAUAAAACAAAACAGUUUACCAUGAGAAAUCACCAAUUGUAGAUCAUGGAGAUUUCUUAUAUAAUUUUUUUAAGUACCUAAAGGGAUAGUUAAAGGGCAUACGCUUAAACAUCUAGAUUUUAAAAUCUAUUGUAAAAUAGAUUCCUA